rnacentral:rRNA from 1 species
UACAGAGGUCCCAAGCGUUGUUCGGAUUCAUUGGGCGUAAAGGGUGCGUAGGCGGCGCGGUAAGUCGGGUGUGAAAUCUCGGGGCUUAACUCCGAAACUGCAUUCGAUACUGCCGUGCUUGAGGACUGGAGAGGAGACUGGAAUUUACGGUGUAGCGGUGAAAUGCGUAGAUAUUGGGAGGAACACCAGUGGCGAAGGCGGCUACCUGGACCGGAACUGACGCUGAGGCGCGAAAGCUAGGGGAGCAAACGGGG